rnacentral:rRNA from 1 species
UGGGGAAUUUUGGACAAUGGGCGCAAGCCUGAUCCAGCCAUGCCGCGUGCGGGAAGAAGGCCUUCGGGUUGUAAACCGCUUUUGUCAGGGAAGAAAUCUUCUGAGUUAAUACCUCGGGAGGAUGACGGUACCUGAAGAAUUAGCACCGGCUAACUACGUGCCAGCAGCCGCGGUAAUACGUAGGGUGCAAGCGUUAAUCGGAAUUACUGGGCGUAAAGCGUGCGCAGGCGGUUUUGUAAGACAGAGGUGAAAUCCCCGGGCUCAACCUGGGAACUGCCUUUGUGACUGCAAGGCUUGAGUGCGGCAGAGGGGGAUGGAAUUCCGCGUGUAGCAGUGAAAUGCGUAGAUAUGCGGAGGAACACCGAUGGCGAAGGCAAUCCCCUGGGCCUGCACUGACGCUCAUGCACGAAAGCGUGGGGAGCAAACAGGAUUAGAUAGCCCUGGUAGUCCACGCCCUAAACGAUGUCAACUGGUUGUUGGGAAGGUUCCUUCUCAGUAACGUAGCUAACGCGUGAAGUUGACCGCCUGGGGAGUACGGCCGCAAGGUUGAAACUCAAAGGAAUUGACGGGGUGCA